rnacentral:rRNA from 1 species
GCUUAACACAUGCAAGUCGAGGGGCAGCAUGGUCUUAGCUUGCUAAGGCCGAUGGCGACCGGCGCACGGGUGAGUAACACGUAUCCAACCUGCCGUCUACUCUUGGACAGCCUUCUGAAAGGAAGAUUAAUACAAGAUGGCAUCAUGAGUCCGCAUGUUCACAUGAUUAAAGGUAUUCCGGUAGACGAUGGGGAUGCGUUCCAUUAGAUAGUAGGCGGGGUAACGGCCCACCUAGUCUUCGAUGGAUAGGGGUUCUGAGAGGAAGGUCCCCCACAUUGGAACUGAGACACGGUCCAAACUCCUACGGGAGGCAGCAGUGAGGAAUAUUGGUCAAUGGGCGAGAGCCUGAACCAGCCAAGUAGCGUGAAGGAUGACUGCCCUAUGGGUUGUAAACUUCUUUUAUAAAGGAAUAAAGUCGGGUAUGCAUACCCGUUUGCAUGUACUUUAUGAAUAAGGAUCGGCUAACUCCGUGCCAGCAGCCGCGGUAAUACGGAGGAUCCGAGCGUUAUCCGGAUUUAUUGGGUUUAAAGGGAGCGUAGAUGGAUGUUUAAGUCAGUUGUGAAAGUUUGCGGCUCAACCGUAAAAUUGCAGUUGAUACUGGAUAUCUUGAGUGCAGUUGAGGCAGGCGGAAUUCGUGGUGUAGCGGUGAAAUGCUUAGAUAUCACGAAGAACUCCGAUUGCGAAGGCAGCCUGCUAAGCUGCAACUGACAUUGAGGCUCGAAAGUGUGGGUAUCAAACAGGAUUAGAUACCCUGGUAGUCCACACGGUAAACGAUGAAUACUCGCUGUUUGCGAUAUACGGCAAGCGGCCAAGCGAAAGCGUUAAGUAUUCCACCUGGGGAGUACGCCGGCAACGGUGAAACUCAAAGGAAUUGACGGGGGCCCGCACAAGCGGAGGAACAUGUGGUUUAAUUCGAUGAUACGCGAGGAACCUUACCCGGGCUUAAAUUGCAGAUGAAUUACGGUGAAAGCCGUAAGCCGCAAGGCAUCUGUGAAGGUGCUGCAUGGUUGUCGUCAGCUCGUGCCGUGAGGUGUCGGCUUAAGUGCCAUAACGAGCGCAACCCUUGUUGUCAGUUACUAACAGGUUCCGCUGAGGACUCUGACAAGACUGCCAUCGUAAGAUGUGAGGAAGGUGGGGAUGACGUCAAAUCAGCACGGCCCUUACGUCCGGGGCUACACACGUGUUACAAUGGGGGGUACAGAGGGCCGCUACCACGCGAGUGGAUGCCAAUCCCCAAAACCUCUCUCAGUUCGGACUGGAGUCUGCAACCCGACUCCACGAAGCUGGAUUCGCUAGUAAUCGCGCAUCAGCCACGGCGCGGUGAAUACGUUCCCGGGCCUUGUACACACCGCCCGUCAAGCCAUGGGAGCCGGGGGUACCUGAAGUGCGUAACCGCGAGGAGCGCCCUAGGGUAAAACUGGUGACUGGGGCUAAAUC